rnacentral:rRNA from 1 species
UACGAAGGGGGCUAGCGUUGCUCGGAAUCACUGGGCGUAAAGGGUGCGUAGGCGGGUUUUUAAGUCAGAGGUGAAAUCCUGGAGCUCAACUCCAGAACUGCCUUUGAUACUGGGAAUCUUGAGUAUGGAAGAGGUGAGUGGAACUGCGAGUGUAGAGGUGAAAUUCGUAGAUAUUCGGAAGAACACCAGUGGCGAAGGCGGCUCACUGGACCGGUAUUGACGCUGAGGUGCGAAAGCGUGGGGAGCAAACAGG